AUGUCCCGAGGUGGGUUUUACAGCAUUUGUGGAACUUCGCACUUCCAUGCGUGGCUGAGGUUAGCGGGGAGGAGGGGAUCGCACAAGGCCUCGGCCGUCGGGCUCAGCCGGAGGGCGGGGCCGCUCCCAGCGCUUGCGCACUGCUCCAGGCGCGGCCCCGGCGCGGCCCCGGGCAAUCCGAGGGCGCCCGUUUGCUCGGCCAGCGAGGCCCCAGCUUUCACAGCAGCGGGCCCUUACGCGGAGGGGGCUCUUAAGACCUGAAACUCUGCGAAGGCGCGCCCGGCGGCCUCGCUCCCCGGGGACAGCGGGGAGCUCUGCGUGCCGCCACCCGCGGGGUCUGCCCCGGUGCUGUGCGGGCGGCUGAGGACCCGCCCGCCCGGUGCUGCUGGCUUCCAGCUCGCUGCCGGCUGAGGCUCGCAGCUUCCCCUGACUGCUCCGAGGGGGAAAUCGGUGACCCAGGAGCGCAAAGUGACUUUCCCUUCCUGGCUCCGGGGGAGGGGAGGGAGAGGGGGGAGGAGGAGGGAGGGGAAGGGGAGGGGAGGAGGGAGGUCCUAGGAGAGGGUGGGCUCCUUUCUCCCCCCUCGCUUGGAGUCUCUCUGCCCCUCCCCGCCAGGCAGGAGGGAGAGCAACCAGUCCGGGUUCCUGCUGAGGAAUGUGGGGACUACCAGGGCCCCAGGAAAUACCCCAAGGCCGGGUCGUUUAUGAGCAGGGGUUUCACAAGCGUGGAAGCCCAGGCGCCUGCAGCUGGAUAAUUGCUAGGUGGGCGGAGAGGGGCAGAGGGCGGCUCAGAGCGCCCUUUACCCAAGCAAGGCGCUGCCCUGCGCGGCCCUGCUCAGGGCUGCAGCCCGGCUCUUACUGAAGUCCCUUGUCCAGAGCAGCGUGGGGCGACUGCUUGCCGGUGGAGACCCAGGAAGUUUCUCUCCUCUCCUCUCCUCUCCUCUCCUCUCCUCUCC
rnacentral:lncRNA from 1 species